UCAGGAUUCACAGAGGCUUCUUGUGCAGCUGUCUUGAGGGGAGCCUCUCACCUGGCACUGCUGGGUUGGAGCAGUGGCGUUGCUGGCCUAGCACCUCGUGCCUGCUGGUGAUCAUCUGCUGGAAUUGCCUUAUGCAGAGGAGCCUGAAGGACCUGUUGUCUAGAAAGUUUUCAUCUGUUUCAUUAGAGAUGCACUUGGGCCCUCAAAACACCAACUGGGUUAAAAGAAGGUAG
rnacentral:lncRNA from 1 species